CAUUACCUAGAGUUUGUAGACUUCGGUCUGCUACCUCUUACCCAUGUCUUUUGAGUACCUUCGUUUCCUCGGCGGGUCCGCCCGCCGAUUGGACAACAUUCAAACCCUUUGCAGUUGCAAUCAGCGUCUGAAAAAACAUAAUAGUUACAACUUUCAACAACGGAUCUCUUGGUUCUGGCAUCGAUGAAGAACGCAGCGAAAUGCGAUAAGUAGUGUGAAUUGCAGAAUUCAGUGAAUCAUCGAAUCUUUGAACGCACAUUGCGCCCCUUGGUAUUCCAUGGGGCAUGCCUGUUCGAGCGUCAUUUGUACCUUCAAGCUCUGCUUGGUGUUGGGUGUUUUGUCUCGCCUCUGCGUGUAGACUCGCCUUAAAACAAUUGGCAGCCGGCGUAUUGAUUUCGGAGCGCAGUACAUCUCGCGCUUUGCACUCAUAACGGCGACGUCCAAAAGUACAUUUUUACACUCUUGACCUCGGAUCAGGUAGGGAUACCCGCUGAACUUAAGCAUAUCAAUAAGCGGAGGA
rnacentral:rRNA from 1 species